rnacentral:lncRNA from 1 species
CCUGAGCGUCCACAACACCAAUUCAUAUUAUGCAUCAUAUACUAAUUCAUAUGCUGAAUAUAAAUUUAUAUGCAUGGCAUUUCAAAGCAUACUUUCAUUUAAACGCAUUUUCUGGGAAAAUAUCAAGUAUAUAAAUAUAUACUGAAAACCAAAAGCCCACUCACUGAUAUGUCGAAGGGUCGUAGCCCCCGAGCCGCCCUUGACUGCGCUCGUCCUCGGGAUAGGUCUCACCUAUAUGCGAAAUAACUGAAUAAACGUUAUUUAAAGCAUAUAGACAAAACUAGUUAAUAACUUCUCAUACAUUGCUCAAAUAGGAUUUUGAAUAUACCAACGUGAUCUACAGAACCUCACGAACAUCCCCAUAUUUUUAGAAAACUUUUCCAACCACCCACGUGCGGGUAACCUUGAAGGAAACCUAACUACCGUUAGGAAUAUUCCGUUAAAACCUUAACAAACGUUAACGACGUAACUUUUGCCGUUAGAGUAUUCCGUUAGAUUUGACGGAAUAUGCUCCUUCGUCUUCCUUAGCUUGCCGGAGUCCGGCACCGGCGACUUCUGCGUUGCCGAUUUUUGGAAAAUAAUAAAACCUUCAUUUCUCACUCAAUUUUCCACCAAAUUUCAUGAAACUUGAACCAAUUUGAAGCUUAGGACGAAUAGAACACAACCAUACCUGUUUUGGGACCUAAAAUCCAUGAAAAUUUGCCGGAGGACCUUCGAUAAUCCGGUUAAACUUCAAAUGCAUCGAUCUCGACUUUCUGACGUCCAAAUUAUGUCAUUUUUCUUCUCCGAGCUUCGUGGAGAGGUCCUUAAGCUUCGUAUAAACUUGAAAUCCUCUAAAAAUCAUGCAUUUACAACUGCAUGAACAGUACCCCCAAACUGGGAUCUUGUGUUCUCGGGUUUUCUAAGCUUUCCCUUCAUAUAAAUGGUACGAAUGGACUCAGGAGCCUACAAUGAACUCAAAGGUCAUAUUCUCCUCAUUGAUCCGUGCCUAAAUGGAAUGGUUCGAGAAUUGUCCGUACGCUUGUACGGACGUUGCAGAAAAUCGAGAGAGGGAGGAGAGAGAGUACACAGGGAAAAGGAUAAGUGUGUGUGUGGUCCUAGUUGGUUACUAACCCACAAAACAAAGUAACAAGCCUAAGUAUUUUUCCAAGAACUUAGGAAAUAUAGAAUUGUCCAACUUAAGUACAUAAUACACACAACACACUUUAACGUCCAAGGGUAAAUUAGUAACUUCCACGUUCGAGACCAAUUAAUAUUACAACAUUUCGGAACGGGUUGUGACAAUCUACCCACCUUAAAAAUUUCAUCUUCAAAAUUCAUGCACAACAAUACAUCCACUAAUAACCAUAAAACAAUCGUGGAUACAUCUCUCUUAUCCGAUCUUCUGUCUCCCAGGUAGCCUCCUCCAUAGAGUGAUUUCUCUAUAAUACUUUCACCAAACACACUGUCUUAUUUCUCAGAACCUUAUCUUUCCAAUCCAAAAUCGUCACAGGCUCCUCGUCAUAAGUCAAAUCCAGAUUAAUUUCCAAAGAUUGAUGAGGAAUCACAUGUGAAGGAUCUGCAACAUAAUGACGAAGCAUAAAGACAUGAAAAACAUCGUGCACUUUGGACAACUCUGGAGGCAACUCAAGUCUAUAAGCAACUUCACCGACUCGCUCGGGUGAUCAUAUAUGAUCCAACGUACCUAAGACUCAGCUUUCCUUUCUUUCCAAACCGCACAACACAUUUCCAUGGUGAUAGCUUCAGAAAUACCCAAUCACCUACAUUUUAUACAUCUGGUCAAUGGCAUGUCUGUCUGCUAGACUCUUUUGUCAAUCCUAGGCCGCUUUCAGGUUAGACUUAAUCAGCUGAAUAUUCUGAGUAGUCUCCUCCACUAUCUCAGGACCCACUAAAACUCUUUCAUGAACCUCUGACCAACAUAAGGGUAUGCGACAAGAUUUACCAUAAAGAGCCUCGAAAGGUGACAUACCAAAACUGGAAUGAAAGUUGUUGUUGUAGGCAAAUUCCAUCAAAUCCAACCGCUUAUGCCAAGCAUCACCAAACUGUAACACCGAUGAUCUCAGCAUAUCCUUUAACAUCUGAAUAAUACUCUUAAACUGCCCAUCUGUUUGAGGAUGAUAUGCCGUACUAUAAAGUAAUCUCGUACCAAGAGCUUCCUGGAACGCUACCCAGAACUUAGAAGUGAAUCUAGGAUCACGAUCUGAGAUAAUACUAAUUGGAACUCCAUGGUACUUCACGAUCUUCGAUAUGAAUAAUUCAGCUAAUCGGCUUAAAGAAUACUUCUCCUUCACAGGAAUAAAAUGCGCUGACUUAGUAAGCCGAUCAACUAUCACCCAAAUGCCAUCAUAACCAUUCUUUGUACGAGGAAGCUUGUACCCAAAUGACUUCUUCCUUUCAGCUUUAACCUGCUGGCAAAUGACACACCUACUCAUAUAUUCAGUAAUUUCUCUUUUCAUACCCGGCCAAUAAUAAAAUGGUCAAAUGGUAUGAUACAUUUUUGUACCUCCUGGAUGCAUUCCAUAAGCUAAAAUAUGUGCUUCAUCAAGAAUUGCCUUAUUUAACUCUGCAUUAUUCGGCACAUACAUUUUGUUCUCUUGCAUAAACAUGCAAUUAGUUUCUCGAAUUCUGAAAUAUUUCUUCUUGCCUCGAUUUCUUUCUUGAAUUAUUUCCUGGGUCUCUUCAUCAUUCAUCUGGGCUUCGAGCACACUAUAAAUCAAAAUUUGCCUAACUUGAAAAUUUGCAAGUAAGGCUUCAUUUCAAUCUUCCACUCCUAACUCCACUCUAGUGGACCUCAAAUCCGCAAGAAGAGGAACAUGACAAUCAUAGAUGGCAUUAAGUCUAGUUGGAGUCUUCCUACUAAGUGCAUCUGCCACUGCAUUUGCACGACCAGAGUGAUAUUCAAUCGUGCAAUCAUAAUCGCUAAGCAACUUAAUCCACCUUCACUGCCAAAGAUUAAGAUCCCUCUGAGUAAAAAGAUACUGAAGACUCUUAUAAUCCGUGAAGAUUUUACAUUUCUCGCCAUAAAGAUAAUGUCUCCAAAUCUUGAAAGCAAAGAUGAUAGCCGCUAACUCCAAAUCAUGAGUAGGGUAAUUCUUCUCAUGAGGUUUCAACUGUCUCGAAGCAUAAGCAAUCACCCUACCAUGUUGCAUCAAUACACAACCCAUACCAUUCAAAGAAGCAUCACUGUAGACCUCAAAAUUACCAUUAUCAUCUGGGAGUGCCAAAACAGGUGCAUAAGUGAGAUAAUACUUCAACUGCUGAAAACUUUGCUCACAAUUAUCAUCCCACUCAAACUUAACAUCCUUCCUGGUCAAUCUCGUCAAUGGUAAACAAUAACUGAAAAAUCCUUAACAAAUCGUCUAUUAUAGCCUGCUGGGCCAAGAAAACUCCGUACCUCAGUGACGGUUCGAGGUUACUCCCAAUUCUCCAUAACUGCCACUUUUUGAGAAUCCACUCGAAUACCUUGAGCUGAUAUAACAUGUCCUAAAAAUGCCACUUGAUCUAACCAGAAUUGGCAUUUGCUAAACUUAGCAUAUAACUGGUGUUCCCUCAAACUUUUCAACACCAAUUUAAGAUGUCUAGCAUGCUUUGCUAUAGACUUAGAGUAUACCAGAAUAUCAUCAAUGAAGACAAUGACAAACCUGUCCAAACAUGGCUGGAAUACUCGAUUCAUUAGAUCCAUGAAAGCUGCUGAUGCAUUAGUUAACCCGAAUGGCAUCACAAGAAACUCAUAAUGACCAUAUCGAGUCCUGAAAGCUGUUUUAGGGACAUCUUCACUUUUAAUCUUCAAUUGGUAGUAACCAGACCUUAAGUUAAUCUUAGAGAACAUACAAACACCUUGGAGUUGAUCAAACAAAUCAUCUAUACGUGGCAAUGGAUAACGGUUCUUAAUUUUUACCCGAUUCAAUUGCCUGUAAUCAAUACAUAGCCUCAAAGUUCCGUCUUUCUUCCUCACAAAUAGAACUGGAGCUCAUCAGGGGGAAGUACCAGGCUGAAUAAAACCUUUAUCCACUAAUUCCUGCAACUGAACUUUCAAUUCCCUUCAUUCAGCAGGAGCCAUUCUAUAUGGAGUCAAAGAUAUAUGAUCCGUACCUAGAAGCAAAUCAAUAGUGAACUCUACGUCUCUAUCUGGCAGCAAUCCAGGCAAAUCAUCAGGGAACAUAUUUGGAAAAUGUCUGACUACACGUACAUCCUUCACACUACUAGGAGCAUUAUCAUUCAACACCACAUGAGCCAAAUAUCCCUGACAACCCUUCGACAACAAUCUUUUGGCUUUCAUGGCAGAAAUAACACCAUGCCUCACCCCGCUAGGCUCUCCUACAAAUGUAACUUCAAAUAAUCCAGGACAAUGGAAAGUAACUGUUUUCCCGUAGCAAUCUAUCUUGGCACGAUUGUAGUAUAACCAAUCAGUGCUCAAAAUCACAUCAAAAUCAACAACGUCUAACGGAAUAAGGUUAGUUGGCAUAACAACAUCCUCCAUUAUCACUGGACAUCCUGGAUAUACCCGAUCAACAUAACAUCUCUCCCCUCUAGGAAUAGAAAACUCUAAAUCAGAUCCUAGAGAUGUAGGGUGAGGAUGCGUCACUUGAGCAAAUGUAUGAAAAACAACAGAAUGCGUAGCACCACAAUCAAUUAAUACUUUAGCAAAAUGACCAAGAAUAUUUAACGUAUCCAUGAUUAAAUCAGGAUUGUUUCUGAGCAUCAUGCAGUGUCAUAUUGUGGAUACGUCCCUGAUUUUGCUGUCGUCCACCACGACCUUUGUUAGCAUGAAUACCUCGUCCUUGUCUUGGCUAACCCGAUUGUCUCGAAGAUCUUACAUUGCUAGCAGCAAUCUCUACCUGCUGGGGCUGUCCCCCUCUGGUACCACUAGGAUCCACCUGCUGAAUGUGGCUGAUAUGGCAUAGAACCUCUCGGAUACUGUGGGUAACCACUCUGAUAAUGAGGGUCUUGCGAGUACUGAUAUUGCCUUGAAGUAUAAGAAGCGGCGUCGCCCUAAUAGUGAUAAGCACCUCCACGACCAGUUUGGGCAUAACCACUAGGUCCUAAAGCUUGCUGGAUCGGCGCAGGCAGUGGUAAGGAAGGCUGUUGAGGCCUCUGCUGGUUCUGAGGGCAAUGUGUAGCCCUAUGCCCCAUCUGUCCACAAGUAUAGCAUCUACCGCUGCCUCUCUUACACUCCCCAAAAUGACACACCUGAACCACCCUAACCACCAAAAUCCCGUUGCCUCUGAAAUCUAGGGCCUCCAGAAAAUCUACCACCUCUCAUCUGCACAUUAGAGCUUAAGUCACCACUAGAAGAGCUGGAACUGACACCACUUCUUUUAAAACUCUGGGUCUUACGAGGUCUCUGAGAUGAUUGACCUUUACCUUUAUCAUCUCACCUCUGGUUCCCGUUCUUUUCUUCUUUAUCGUCACUUUCACUAGGCAUGUUCUCUAAGCCCUCAAUCCGUAGUAAAACCUCAUAAAACUCCUGGUAAGUGGCACAGGAAGUCGAUGUCGCUAUAAAACGCCAUUUCUCCUUAGUACCCAACCUGAAACAACAGAGCAUCUCAACCGGAUUAGCAGCAACCUCCGAAUGAUAGUGAGACAAGUCAGUGAAUCUUCUAUAAUACUCAUUCACCGUCAUCUUCCCCUUCUUGAAUUGAGUAAAUUCUUGCUUUUUGCGAUCAAUAUACUCAGGGGGAAUAAACCUUUUCUGAAACAAUUGUUUAAACACUUCCCAAUCCGCAAUUUCCUCUGGGGUCAGCUGAUAAGAUUCCUAUCUCUACCAGGAUGCAGGUUCCGGACCUAAAAACCAGGUAGUCAUCUCGACCCACCUAUCAGGAGGAAGAUUCCCCUGACUCUACAUUACACGAAAAGUCUUCUCAAUAUGAUUGAUCCAUUUCUCCGCUCCUUCAUGGCCUUCAUUCCCCAUAAAAUGAUUCAGCUUCAGAUUAUACAUAGUCUCAAGAGGUGUCCUUUGAGGACGAUGGAGCGAAGACUGAAUGGCAUUAGCUAUAACUUCCCCUAAUUGAGUAAUAUCAGGGAAACUAGGCUUAGCUGAGUAACGUGGCUCUCUACGAGGUGGCAUAGUUCUGACAGAAGACAUCACAAUGAUUAGAAUAUUCACGAACUAUACAAGACUGCAAAACCUAGGCUCUAAUACCAAACUGACACCCCGACCCGAAUCAGGGCAUGCUGACCGUCACGUGAGGGUGACGUAGCCAUAUGCAUAAUGCAGAGAGAAUAAAGAUAAUAGAGAAUACGAAUAAAUGAAAACCAACUCAUAAGAGUACUAGUUAAGACAAGUGCUAGAAUAUGUGUGAAUACACAAUCAGAGCGUGAGUAGCCUAAGUUCAAUCCAGAAAAUAAAUACUAAUUAAACGACACCCAAAGAUGCCCUACAUUUGUUAUAGUUUGUCAGAACCUCCAAUCAAUCCUCGUGAGCCACCAAUGAACAAGCUUAUCUAAAACCUGGAGGGCCGCAAAACAGAAAGUGUGAGUGGGCAAAAACAAAGCUUUACAAAACCAUUUCAUUUAUCAAAUGCCCUAACCCCUCGUCGUAAAACAUUUAUAACUUUCCCAGAAAUGGAAUAUAAAUAUAUAUAUAUAUAUAUAUAUGUAUAUUUUGUUUUUUCAAAUCAUGCUUCACAUAUCCAUAUUCAUAAGUGUGCCAUGCCAAAAUAUAAAACGGAAUAAGUAACUCAGGUGAAAAUAAAUUCAUGCAUAAAUAACAUAUUAGUUGGAACCCUUGCAAAGGUAUGUACUGCUGAAUUUAUAGCUCAUUAGUCAAUCUAGUUGGAGUCAUUGCAAGUGAUCUAUACGGCACUACAUUGCACAUGAGUUGGAACAACUGCAAAGGUUUGUACGACAAGACAGGGUGUAAUAUAGUUAUGCUCAAUGCUAUGCUCUCAUGAUAGCUGUGCGAUAAAUUGCUAGUCGCCUACGAAUCAGAACCACCUAUGAACUAUACACCUAAAUUGGAUCCAAUGUGAGCAUAUGGUGCGGGAUGUGACAUUAUAAAUAGGCAUGUACUAGAUCUCUAGCUAAAUCACAAUCACCCAGGGUGCAGGUUUAUGAGCUCUCAACCACGUGUCACAUUAUCAAUAUCUCAUAUAACAAAACAUUACUCACCUGGUACUUAUCUGAGCGUCCACAUCACCAAUUCAUAUUAUGUAUCAUAUACUAAUUCAUAUACUGAAUAUAAAUUUAUAUGCAUGGCAUUUCAAAGCAUACUUUCAUUUAAACACAUUUUUUUGGAAAAUAUCAAGUAUAUAAAUAUAUACUGAAAACCAAAAGCCCACUCAUUGAUAUGUCAAAGGGUCAUAGCCCCCGAGCCUCCCUUGACUGCGCUCGUCCUCGGGAUAGGUCUCACCUAUAUGCGAAAUAACUGAAUAAACGUUAUUUAAAGCAUAUAGACAAAACUAGUUAAUAACUUCUCAUACAUUGCUCAAAUAGGAUGUUUGAAUAUACCAACGUGAUCUACAGAACCUCACGAAUAUCCCCAUAUUUUUAGAAAAAUUUUCCGACCACCCACGCGCGGGUAACCUUGACGGAAACCUAACUGCCAUUAGGAAUAUUCCGUUAAAACCUUAACAGACGUUAACGGCGUUACCUUUUGCUGUUAGAAUAUUCCGUCAGAUUUGACAGAAUAUGCUCCUUUGUCUUCCUCA